rnacentral:rRNA from 1 species
CCCUACUGCUAUCGGGGUGGGACUAAGACAUGCGAGUUGUGCGUCUCUAAGCUAUGGUAGAGACGCGGCGUACGGCUCAGUAACACGUGGCUAACCUACCCUUAGGACGGGGACAACCCCGGGAAACUGGGGCUAAUACCCGAUAGGUGAGGAGGCCUGGAAUGGUUCCUAGUCGAAAAGGCGUUGAAACCAUGCUUUUCGACGUCGCCUAAGGAUGGGGCCGCGCCCGAUCAGGUUGUUGGUGGGGUAACGGCUCACCAAGCCUAUAACCGGUACGGGCCGUGAGAGCGGGAGCCCGGAGAUGGGCACUGAGACAAGGGCCCAGGCCCUACGGGGCGCAGCAGUCGCGAAAACUCCGCAAUGCGCGAAAGCGUGACGGGGCUACCCCGAGUGCCGUCCGCUGAGGAUGGCUUUUCCCCGGUGUAAUGAGCCGGGGGAAUAAGGAGAGGGCAAGACUGGUGUCAGCCGCCGCGGUAAUACCAGCUCUCCGAGUGGUAGGGAUGAUUAUUGGGCUUAAAGCGUCCGUAGCCGGCUUAGCAAGUCUCCUGUUAAAUUCAGCGACCUAAUCGUUGAGCCGCGGGAGAUACUACUAGGCUAGGAGGCGGGAGAGGCCGACGGUAUUCUCGGGGUAGGGGUGAAAUCCUAUAAUCCCGGGAGGACCACCAGUGGCGAAGGCUGUCGGCUAGAACGCGCUCGACGGUGAGGGACGAAAGCUGGGGGAGCGAACCGGAUUAGAUACCCGGGUAGUCCCAGCCGUAAACGAUGCGGGCUAGGUGUUGGGGUGGCUACGAGCCACUUCAGUGCCGCAGGGAAGCCAUUAAGCCCGCCGCCUGGGGAGUACGGCCGCAAGGCUGAAACUUAAAGGAAUUGGCGGGGGAGCACCACAAGGCGUGAAGCUUGCGGUUC